UAAGCUGCAGCUGUGUGAAAUGGAAUUGACAAUUACAUUCAUCAACAAACACAUUUCAGUUUCAGAAAUUUUAGUCUUGAGACAAAAGUUGCCAGUCGAUUUACAUGUCACCUUAAGUCAUAUAAUAGCAGGAGCUUGUCAUUUAGAUAGCAUACUUCAGUUUCAAAAAAUGUUGUCUUGAAGAUGACCAGUUGCCAAUCGAUUGACAUAACACCCUAAGUA